CCGUAUUCUGCUCACGAACGAUUGUGUUUGAUCUCCUCGAGAGAGAAAGACCAACUUCGUGUGGCUUAACGAAACUUUUGCCUAUCUGGUCGUUAUGGUCUAAGAGUGCGCGUAGCAGAUGCUAGGAGACCCCGUCCGGGGGUCCUUCGCUCCCUCGGUCGCCCGGUCCCCGGGUGAUGAAGCUCUCAGCGAGGGAUAGAGCGAGGUUGACCAGUCUGUGGCGAGGUUGUCGAGGAUAAGAGGGGUCGUCUCUCCUUUCUUCAUGGACCUCGGUAUGUCCGUUACUUUUUUUUUUGUAGUUGUCGGUACGUCCGACCCUUUCGGUUGCUCGCUCAAUUAAAGGACAAUUUCGAUCGACUUUAAAGCGACUCGAAAGGGUACCGUUCAAAGAGUUCUUGGGGGAGACGCCAAGCCGCCGGUCAACUACAUUUCCCCGGUCGUCUAACAAUUUUUUUUCCACACGAUCAAGGACACAUCUAGUUUGUUGCGAGCCGCCGUCUUUUCGGCGGCCGUCUCACAUAAUUUGAAACGUUAACGUACGACCGUAGGCGUUGGAUCACUCGGCUCGU
rnacentral:misc_RNA from 1 species